rnacentral:rRNA from 1 species
AUUGAACGCUGGCGGCAGGCUUAACACAUGCAAGUCGAGCGAGCGGCGGACGGGUGAGUAAUGCUUAGGAAUCUGCCCAUUAGUGGGGGACAACAUCCCGAAAGGGAUGCUAAUACCGCAUCCUAAUAGAUGAGCCUAAACCGGAUUAGCUAGUUGGUGGGGUAACGGACCACCUAGGCGACGAUCCCUAGCUGGUCUGAGAGGAUGACCAGCCACACUGGGACUAAGACACGGUCCAGACUCCUGCGAGAGGCAGCAGUGGGGAAUAUUGCACAGUGGGCGCAAGACUGAUGCAGCCAUGCCGCGUGUGUGAAGGAGGCUUCGGGUUGUAAAGCGCAUUCAGCGGGGAGGCGUUACCCGCAGAAGAAGCACCGGCUGACUCCGUGCCAGCAGCCGCGGUAAUAC